CCGGUGGCCUAGUGGUUAGAGCGUCCGCCUUAGAUGCGGGAGGUCGUGGGUUCGUCAAGGUGGAGUCAUACCAAAGAGU